AGGCCCUGCCUGGUCUUUUCCACGGGGUGCCAUCAGCCCCUUUUCUGGAAGAGAUGAGUGUCCCUGUCACACGCUCCUGCUGCCCCGCUCUGCAUUCCGGCGCUGACAGCAAGGCUGCAGAUACCUGUCCCAGAAGGAGAGGGAAAGGGCUCAGCACACCCAUCUUACAUUUGGAGAACUGCCACCUACUUCCACCCCACAGGGCUCAGCGAGCUGCUUCAGAGCCAGGCAAGGGCGUGAGCUGUGGAGCCAGCUCCUGGCACUUCCUGUAUGAUCUUGAACAAGCCGCAUCGCCUCCCUUUGCCUCAGUUUACUCAUCUCUAAAAUGAAGAUAUUGGGCCAGUCAACCAAAGGCUGGAGGAAGCUGGCCUUGCUGAAGUGUGGUUUCUGAAAGAAGGCUGUUCUCUCCUUUCCUAUGGAAGAAGCCUCAGGACAGGUGCACCUUUGUAACCACCUGGGGAUGUAGGCGCCGGUCCUCUGAGUCCAGAGCCGUUUCUUCCUCCCGAAGCCGGCUUCGUGUUCCAGAGCGGCUGGAGCCACCGAAGCUGGGACUCAGGGGCAGAGGCAUUGCCUUCUCAUCUCCAUGGCCUGCAGACUCUCGUGUCUGGGAGAAGGAGCAGCAACCUGUAACUACAGAACUGCCGUCACGGUCCACAUCGGUACCGCGUGGCUGCUCCCAGCCCUGGGUCCCUCCAGCACUCAUUAGUAGCUGCACCAGAGCUGGAUGGGGAAGGAAGAGGGAUGGGAUUCACUGGAGUCCUCGUUAGGAGGAAUUCAGGCCAAAGAUUUGGAGAAGAGGAAGCUGGUCCUACUGGGCACGGCAAGGAGUUCAGUGUGUGCGGAUCUCAAAGAACCUCCCUCCCAGCACCACUGAGGUGCUGAGGAUGCCCCUGAAACGGCCUCAAACUCGACUUGGACUAUGGGUUCCAUCCGUAGAGUUGGCCUCACUGACAGCAUUACAGGAAGGCUUCGAGGCAGCUCCCUGUGACCAUGUGGCGAUCGGACCAUCCCUGGCAUCCCACUUUGUGGGUGAGGAGACUGCUUCCUAACCAUGCUGGCACAAGGAAGAGGGGCACCUGUGUGAUUUGGGCGUCUUCUCCAGCUGCUGCCUUGGAGCCCCCCACCUGGCUCAGGGCCCUUUGGAUGGUCCAGAACCACAUCUCCCUGGGGCUGCUCUUGCAGCUGAGGAACCUGGAGGUCUAGCCCAUCCUGACCUUGGCUCUGCCCUGUGCUCCACGCCCAGCUGACCCAUCUCUUUCCAUGACACUCCCUUGACGGCCUCCCCCACGGAGCACAUUUCUGAGUGGAGCUGCCUGGAGCUACCACUGAGAUCAAUCUCUUGGGAUGCCGAAACGCAGACACCAUCCUGCCUCCCAGAUCUGAUUGUUUUGACAGCUUCACCAAAUUACAAAGCAAAGGCCCUAUUUGGUGAUGAGAAAAGCAAUAUUGUGGCAGGGGCGGCUCAUUUCUUUGAAAAUCAGCAGUAAGUGAAUUUGCAUCCACUUAGUAGUAAAUACAUCUGGUUGUCCCCCUCUCC
rnacentral:lncRNA from 1 species